GAAAUGCGAUAAGUAAUGUGAAUUGCAGAAUUCAGUGAAUCAUCGAAUCUUUGAACGCACAUUGCACCCCUUGGUAUUCCAUGGGGUAUGCUUGUUCGAGCGUCAUUUGUACUCUCAAGCUCUGCUUGGUGUUGGGUGUUUGUCCUUUCCCCCGCGAUUGGACUCGCCUUAAAUUCAUUGGCAGCUAAUAUAUUGGUUAGAAGCGCAGCACAAUUUGCGAUUCCGACUCGUAUCAUCGGCAUCCAGUAAGCGUAAUUAACACUUUUGACCUCGGAUCAAGUAGGGAUACCCGCUGAACUUAA
rnacentral:misc_RNA from 1 species